GGGGGCGUACUGGUUUCGACUCGGGGUUUGAAGACCAGGCGGCAUGCCGAGGAUGACUCGUUGGCCUCGUUAAAAAUCGGGUCAAAAAAAUAACUGCCAACCAAGAACUGGCACUCGCGGCUUAAUUGACCGUGACGUUCCCGGCCGGAUGCCUGCUAAGGCCGGGAGCGACGACAGCAGGCUGGCCUGAAGGUGGAGCAACCGCACCGGAGGGCGAGAAAAAUUUCGUGGAUGCAAAGGGCAGGUGUAGCCCGCUGGCCAGCGUCACCUGCUCUAUUAUGGCCAGCUAAGCAUGUAGAGGCUUGGUUUGACGGCCUUGAGGACAGGGGUUCGACUCCCCUCGCCUCCAA
rnacentral:tmRNA from 1 species